UUCCGGUUGAUCCUGCCGGAGGCCACUGCUAUUGGGAUCCGACUAAGCCAUGCGAGUCGAGAGGGUUCGGCCCUCGGCAGACUGCUCAGUAACACGUGGAUAACCUAACCUUAGGUGGAAGAUAACCUCGGGAAACUGAGAAUAAUAUUCCAUAGAUCUAGGAUGCUGGAAUGCAUCUAGAUUGAAAGUUCCGACGCCUAAGGAUGGGUCUGCGGACUAUCAGGUUGUAGUCAGGGUAAAGACCUGACUAGCCUACGACGGAUAUGGGUUGUGAGAGCAAUAGCCCAGAGACGAUAUCUGAGACACGAUAUCGGGCCCUACGGGGCGCAGCAGGCGCGAAAUCUUCACAAUGUGCGAAAGCACGAUGAGGGGAUCCCAAGUGCUGGCACGUAAGUGUCAGCUGUUUCUUAGUCUAAAAAACUGAGAGAGUAAGGGCUGGGUAAGACGGGUGCCAGCCGCCGCGGUAAUACCUGCAGCUCAAGUGGUGGCCGCUAUUAUUGGGCCUAAAACGUCCGUAGCCUGUUUAGUAAAUGCUUGGGUAAAUUGUGUAGCUUAACUAUACGAAUACCGAGUAGACUGCUAAACUUGGGACCGGGAGAGGCUAGAGGUACUCCUGGGGUAGAGGUGAAAUUCUGUAAUCCUAGGGGGACCACCAGUGGCGAAGGCGCCUAGCUAGAACGGGUCUGACGGUGAGGGACGAAGCCCUGGGGCGCAAACCGGAUUAGAUACCCGGGUAGUCCAGGGUGUAAACGCUGCUUGCUUGAUGUUAGUUGGGCUCCGAGCCCAACUAGUGUCGGAGAGAAGUUGUUAAGCAAGCUGCCUGGGAAGUACGGUCGCAAGACUGAAACUUAAAGGAAUUGGCGGGGGAGCACAGCAACGGGUGGAGCGUGCGGUUUAAUUGGAUUCAACGCCGGAAAUCUC
rnacentral:rRNA from 1 species